rnacentral:ncRNA from 1 species
UGUUUAGAACUAACCCCGUGAAGCGUAUCGCAACGGUACGGUUCCUGGCCCGCCACGCCGGCAGCGGGUCUUAUCACCGGCAGCUUUCUGCCCGGCCCAGCAGUGGCCGACGGGACAUCAGUCAAC